CCCUUAGAUGUUCUGGGCCGCACGCGUGCUACACUGAGUGGAUCAGCGGGUCAGGUUGCGCGAAAGCGUUUCCUAAUCUUUAAAUCCGCUCGUGAUGGGGAUUGACGGUUGCAAUUUUCUGUCAUGAACGAGGAAUACCUUGUAAGCGCGGGUCAUCAUCCCGCGCUGAAUACGUCCCUGCCCUUUGUACACACCGCCCGUCGCUCCUACCGAUUGAAUGGUUCGGUGAAGAUCUCGGACUUCGAUAUUUGUUCUUCAUUGAACUUAUAUAGUGGGAAGUUAUCUGAACCUCAUCAUUUAGAGGAAGGUGAAGUCGUAACA
rnacentral:rRNA from 1 species